AGUGAACGCUGGCGGUAGGCCUAACACAUGCAAGUCGAACGGCAGCACAGUAAGAGCUUGCUCUUACGGGUGGCGAGUGGCGGACGGGUGAGGAAUACAUCGGAAUCUACUUUUUCGUGGGGGAUAACGUAGGGAAACUCACGCUAAUACCGCAUACGAUCUACGGGUGAAAGCAGGGGAUCUUCGGACCUUGCGCGAUUGAAUGAGCCGAUGUCGGAUUAGCUAGUUGGCGGGGUAAAGGCCCACCAAGGCGACGAUCCGUAGCUGGUCUGAGAGGAUGAUCAGCCACACUGGAACUGAGACACGGUCCAGACUCCUACGGGAGGCAGCAGUGGGGAAUAUUGGACAAUGGGCGCAAGCCUGAUCCAGCCAUACCGCGUGGGUGAAGAAGGCCUUCGGGUCGUAAAGCCCUUUUGUUGGGAAAGAAAAGCAGCAGGUUAAUACCCCGCUGUUCUGACGGUACCCAAAGAAUAAGCACCGGCUAACUUCGUG
rnacentral:rRNA from 1 species